rnacentral:rRNA from 1 species
CGGCAAAAGCUCAAAUUUGAAAUCUGGCUCUGUUAGGGUCCGAGUUGUAAUUUGUAGAAGAUGUUUCGGGUGUGGCUUCGGUUUAAGUUCUUUGGAAUAUUACAUCAUAGAGGGUGAGAAUCCCGU